UACGUAGGGGGCGAGCGUUGUCCGGAUUUAUUGGGCGUAAAGAGCGUGUAGGCGGCUUGGUAGGUCUCGCGUCAAAACCUGCGGCUCAACCGCAGUUCGCGUGGGAAACCACCUAGCUAGAGUCCGGAAGAGGAGAACGGAAUUCCCAGUGUAGCGGUGAAAUGCGCAGAUAUUGGAAGAACACCAGUGGCGAAGGCGGUUCUCUGGGACGGUACUGACGCUGAGACGCGAAAGCGUGGGGAGCGAACAGG
rnacentral:rRNA from 1 species